GGCGCCAAAUAGGCGCCUGGACGUCCCUGGACGUCCAGCACGUCUCUUUUGAUAAACCUGUCUUCAUCUUCCCAAAAAAAUUCUAGACAUUUCUCCCAAAUCACAAAGCAAGAGGAAACCUGUAUGCUUCUUCAUCGCCGACGUCGAUCGGCGCGCACCAUUGGCCACCGUGCGAGGACGACAGCCCACCGAAACCCAACGUCGAAAUAGCAUUUGAAGACGGCAGUCGAAUCAUAGAUGCUAGGCAAAGUUGUUGAGUAGAAUGAGAGGAAUGAAUUUCAGAGUUUGUCACGACUAUAAAAGUAACACUCACUACUUCGGAAAAUGCCAAACAAAACGUGGAUGCCCUUCAUGUAAAAGCGGAUUUCGAAAAUGUUUUGAGGUAGAACGGGAUACUAGAAAUAAAGGGCGCUUGUUCUUUACGUGUAAUAACGACUGUGGAUAUUUCGAUUGGGUGAAAAAUGAAGAUAUAAGCAAGGAGUCGAGUACCAUUAACGAAGAGGUGAAGCAUGAGCCCAAUGAGGUAUACAAAGACUUGCUAAGAGUCUUAGCCUAGCUCGAAUUAUCGAGAAACGAGAUGUCAACAUAACAUUGCACGUUACAUUUCGCAAAGGAAAAGGAAUUGUAGAAAGUGAUGGGAAGAGAAGGGACCGAUGUGAAUGGGUGAUGUCAAUUUGUAUUUGCUAUAUGCUUUAUUUGUACUAUAAGAACUUAUUGGUCAUAGUAGUCUUCGAUAUUCAAUGCUUAAUUUUGUCAACGUCGUUCGAGCUUUGGACAUAAGUUUAAUAUUUUGCGAAUUGUUGUAUUGCUUAGUAGGCUUGUUUUAA